CUGAGGUAGGUGGUGUUUUAUUUUGCUAUAUCCCAAAGUCAUUAACUUGCAAUAUGCUGCUGACAGUGUAAACAGCCGCACCGUUAAAGCAUUUAAGCUGCUUUAAAGGCUAAUUUUGU